ACAGCAUGUCUUUAUCCAGUCUUCCUUCUCUCACCCCAACCGGUCGCAGCAGAUGGCCCCGCCCCUCCCUGAGCCUGCUUCUGCUGGAGGUUUCUUCCUGUUGGAAGGGAGUUUUUUCUCAGCUCUUCCCAGGAGGGUGGCACGGUUCCCCCCCUUUGGUGGUCCUCCUCGGGUCCUUGUACUCUGGGGCCUCUGGAUGUCUGGAGUUUUGAUCUCCUCCAUACCUGCUUCAUACCCUGGUGGACGGGGCUGUGGCCCCCCCACACCCUCUAGCUGAUCGUUACAUGGAGAAACCUUUGGAAUACAAGCAUGCUGAUCCACACAGAGGAUGGCUGUGGGGUUUUUCCCCUCUCUCUUAGGAGGUGGACACCUGGGCGUGCCUGCUGAGUAGCUGGGUGGAGUCUCUUCAUGUCCUGGGAUUGGAUAAUUGGUUGAUCACCUCCAGUACUUAACUACCGGAUCACAGCCACUUGGCCCCCGAUCUACUAGCUGCCACCAUCCAACAAAGAGCAUGUGUUUUUGAGUCGUAGAGUGUCUUUGCCCAUUGAUUUGCAAGUAUAACCGUGUGUGUGUGUGUGUGUGUCUGGUGUUAGUAUCUUCAUUUUGUAAAUAGCUGUAAUAGAUUUGUAAAGCAGCAAUUGUGUAUUUUGUUCACCUUGUAUAUAUUCUUCGCUGCAGCAGCCUAGUAGGCGUGAGAAGCCGUUUUUGUUGAUUGAGUUUUCUCCUGUUUUUCAUUUAGAAAGUUAGGUAAGUGAAUUGUCUUUUGUUUGGUUUUCAUUUGUAUAGGAAAGCGUAGGGACCAUUAGGGAGUUUUGUUUGUUAUUUUUGGCACUGCUCACUGCUGAAGCAAAUAAAUGGCUGCUUAGCACUUUAAAAGAUACGACUGUUUGUGUUCUUGCUUUGGUGGAGCGGGAGUGGGCCAAUUUCUUGUUGCGUUCAAUACACGCCUUGAACGUAGCACCACUGUCGCCAAAGUGCUUCUCACAGGGGGUCAUAUGAUUGUUGGGUUUUUCUCUGUAUGUAUUAUUGUAGGGUCGACCUUACAGUAUAAAGUGCCUUGAUCUCUGUGCUGGGUGGUUACAACAGGACUUCCAGGGAGAAAUCUGCAGACAGCUUUGGCAGGUGACAUAGAGCACAGACAAGGCAAGCUCCUUAAAAUAAAAUAGUCACAUCAGACAUACUAAAUUGUGUUUGUCUAUAGAUUUUACCCAGUGUUGGGGGAACUUUGUGUCAAUACUAAAAAGGGGUCAUACAUUUAUUUAAUUUUCUUUUCUUUUUUUUGUCCUAUUUGCAUUUUUUUUAUUCUUAGAUUAUUUUCUGUAAAACAGUUUGCGAUUUCUGUCUGGAAAAAAAAAACCCUGCACAAAUAAAUACGCAGUAAAUGUUUGUCAUCAUUUCCUACUCAACAUCUUUCUUAGUGACACUUAUCAUUUCAUUAGCAUCAGGCCAUAUUAGAACAUUAUAGAUUAUAAAGCUGUAUGUAAGCAUGUCAUUUUACUGUGAAAUGCACCGUAUACAGAUACUGUAUACGGUGCCGAAAGAACACGCGAACGGUCUUUACACCUGUUGUUGAAGCUACAUCAUUUGAGCUCAAUUACAGCAAGGAAACUUCAAACCUACUGGUUUACGCUGACACAUGGUAUCCUUCAUGGAUGACAGGAUUUUCUUAAGUUUGUCAGUAAAAUCAUCAGAUUUUUUUUGUUUAUUGUGCCAUCUUUGGACACAGGUUUUGUGUUUUCGCUUCGCUUCAUUUUUGCCGAUGACUUGUAGGGGCACAAAUAAUCUGACAAAGGCAAAGGGACA
ensembl:lncRNA